UACGGGGGGGGCAAGCGUUGUUCGGAAUUACUGGGCGUAAAGGGCUCGUAGGCGGCCAACUAAGUCCGACGUGAAAUCCCCAGGCUUAACCUGGGAACUGCGUCGGAUACUGGAUGGCUUGAAUCCGGGAGAGGGAUGCGGAAUUCCAGGUGUAGCGGUGAAAUGCGUAGAUAUCAAGAGGAACACCUGAGGUGAAGACGGGUUGCUGGGCUGACACUGACGCUGAGUGCGCGAAAGCUAGGGUAGCAAACGGG
rnacentral:rRNA from 1 species